ACUUAUAUAAGGAGGAGAAUCACAAGGAUUAGAGAGAUUAGAGACUAGAUAGAGGAUUCAAUUAGAUUAGAUUAGAGUAGAUUAGAUCAAAACACUAGUUCUAAUUAGAUUUGGAGAUUGAAGCAACUUGAAGACCAUUGAUGAUCAAGAGCAGGAGCCUUAAGGAAGAUGGAGAUCUACUGACAACAGAUUUAUUCUUUACUCUACUCUUAUUUUUAUCUUUCAAUGUGUAUUCAAUUGUGGAUUCUUAGUUUUAAUUCAAUAAUCAUGAACUAAUUCUUUGUUUGAGAUUACAAUGGAUCUUUGUGUAGUUUAUUUUAAUAUGCUUCACUAUCA
rnacentral:lncRNA from 1 species